rnacentral:rRNA from 1 species
UGAAGCUGGAUUCGCUAGUAAUCGCGCAUCAGCCACGGCGCGGUGAAUACGUUCCCGGGCCUUGUACACACCGCCCGUCAAGCCAUGGAAGCCGGGGGGUGCCUGGAGUGCGCUGCCGCAAGGAGCGUCCUAGGGUAAAACCGGUGACUGGGGCUAAGUCGUAACAAGGUAGC